GAAAAAGAAAUGCCAGGAAGAUAUGAAUUGUUGUGGAAUAUUCCAACAUGAAAUCAAAAAUUGAUCUAAAAUCGGAAGUAUCGAAAGCAAUAUCAAUUUCCAAAAUCAAGGCACUCUGACGCAGGGAAAUCACAAUGUAGGGUUAAACAACCUGAGAACGUUCAGCCUAUGGAAGAAACGCCUUAGCAAGGCGAGAACCCUGAAAAGAGAUCAGAUUGCCUCAAGAAAUAGUGAUUUCCUGUCAAGGAAAAAAGCUGGACAGCCUCUUAUUGGGAAUGUUAUCAAGGCGGCCCUUAAGAAUUUAUGAUUCUUGGGGGCUG